rnacentral:tRNA from 1 species
AAUGUGGUGUGUGAGCAUUACGGGGUUUGGUCCCGUAGGUGGCUAGUUUCCCAUU